rnacentral:rRNA from 1 species
UACGUAGGUGGCAAGCGUUGUCCGGAUUUAUUGGGUUUAAAGGGUGCGUAGGCGGUCCUGUAAGUCUGUAGUGAAAUACCCCGGCUUAACCGGGGGGUGCUAUGGAUACUGCAGGACUUGAGUAAAGUUGAGGCAGGCGGAAUUGACGGUGUAGCGGUGAAAUGCAUAGAUAUCGUCAAGAACACCUAUAGCGAAGGCAGCUUGCUAAGCUUUAACUGACGCUGAUGCACGAAAGUGUGGGGAUCAAACAGG